GACGAACCGUCCAAACGUUGUUCGGAAUCACUGGGCUUAAAGGGCGCGUAGGCGGACUGCCAAGUCCGGGGUGAAAUCUUUCGGCUUAACCGGAAAAGGGCCUUGGAAACUGGCGGUCUCGAGGGAGGUAGGGGCCUGUGGAACUUCGGGUGGAGCGGUGAAAUGCGUAGAGAUGUGGAGGAACACCGAUGGCGAAGGCAGCCCCCUGGGUCAACACUGACGCUCAUGCACGAAAGCGUGGGGAGCAAACAGG
rnacentral:rRNA from 1 species